rnacentral:rRNA from 1 species
CCACAAUGGGGGAAACCCUGAUGGAGCGACGCCGCGUGCGGGAUGAAGGCCCUAUGGGUUGUAAACCGCUGUUCAGUGGAAAGAACAUCCUCCGGCUGAAUAGGUCGGAGGCCUGACGUUACCACUGCAGAAAGUCCCGGCCAACUCCGUGCCAGCAGCCGCGGUAAUACGGGGGGGACGAGCGUUAUCCGGA